CGAGCCAGCAUCUUCCACCAUGAAGCUCUUGGUUCUCUCGGCACUCGUGGUCGCAACUUACGCGGCACCUCAGGGCUACAAUUUAGCCUCGCCAUCGGGAGGUGGAUUCUCCCAUGGUGGAGGUCACACAUCUGGAAGUGGCAUUUCUAGCGGAGUUUCCGGUGGAG